rnacentral:rRNA from 1 species
AGGUGUUUUCCACGUUUUUGGUCAGUCCAAGUCCUUCGGAAUGAGGCAUCAUGGAGGGUGAGAAUCCCGUUCGGCUGAUCAGAUUCGUUUUAUGAUACACCUUCAAAGAGUCAAGUUGAUUGGGAUUGCAGCUUAAAAUGGGAGGUAAAUUUCUCCUAAGGCUAAAUAUUGGCGAGAGACCGAUAGCGAACAAGUACCGUGAGGGAAAGAUGAAAAGUACUUUGAGAAGAGAGUUAAAUAGUACGUGAAAUUGUUGAAAGGGAAACGAUUGAAGCCAGUCGUACUCAUGGGUAAUCAACCUUUCUGGCGCAUUAUGUGGGCGUGUUGGAGCCUAAUCAGCCCUCACGUUUUUAUAUUCGUUUCUCUUGGGUGUACUUGCCCGUGUGGUAGGUUAACAUCAAUUUCGGGCGUCAUAAAAUAACGGGAGGAAUGUAGCCUCGGUCUCGGCUGAAGUGUUAUAGCCUCUGGUAGAUGUGACGUCUGGGAUUGAGGAUUGCAACGGAUACCCCUCGGGGCUACCUGCCUGGCCUCUGAUGAUUGCUAUGGUGUCGAAAGCUUG